rnacentral:misc_RNA from 1 species
CAAUUUUAAAGCAGUUCAGUGUAAUAGAAGCCAAAAACAUACCCAACAAUAGGACCAAGACAAAUCAUCUCCACAAAGACACCCAAUGGCAAAACAACUAACAGGGAUACAGUAUACACCCAAGGCGACGCCGUCAAGAGCAAUCGGAGUGGCAGAGGACGUCGGACGCACUGGCGAGUGGGACGGCGACAAGAGCUUCUACUGGCGCGUCAACCUCACUCGCUGGUCUUCUGGUGACCAGAUUUUCUAGGUAAGGUCGCUGGCAAGGGAUCUUCCUUCCUAGGUGG